GUGGGGAAUAUUGGACAAUGGGCGCAAGCCUGAUCCAGCCAUGCCGCGUGAGUGAUGAAGGCCUUAGGGUUGUAAAGCUCUUUCACCGAUGAAGAUAAUGACGGUAGUCGGAGAAGAAGCCCCGGCUAACUUCGUGCCAGCAGCCGCGGUAAUACGAAGGGGGCUAGCGUUGUUCGGAUUUACUGGGCGUAAAGCGCACGUAGGCGGUUUGUUGAGUCAGGGGUGAAAUCCCGGAGCUCAACUCCGGAACUGCCUUUGAUACUGGCAAGCUAGAGUCCGGAAGAGGUAAGUGGAACUCCUAGUGUAGAGGUGGAAUUCGUAGAUAUUAGGAAGAACACCAGUGGCGAAGGCGGCUUACUGGUCCGGAACUGACGCUGAGGUGCGAAAGCGUGGGGAGCAAACAGGAUUAGAAACCCGAGUAGUCC
rnacentral:rRNA from 1 species